rnacentral:misc_RNA from 1 species
UAAUGGAUAUCAGUAAUGACUAAUACGACAAGAUGUAAAUUAGACAAAGAGGAAUUAGAGACCAACACAAGCAUUUGUGAGGGAUGUAAUAAUGACAGUGCGAAUGAACCCUCUCGUGAAGACCGUCGACAAUUAAUGCUUCAAUAUUCUUUUAUUAUUUUUGGCUUAUUAUCUAUACCCCUCAUGUUAAUUAAUGAUUGGCUAGGCUGGAUUGAUAUUAAGAGAGAAUGGUCAACAUACUUUUUUGGUUAUAUUGUGCUGU